GAUUGAACGCUGGCGGCAGGCCUAACACAUGCAAGUCGAGCGGUAGCACAGAGAGCUUGCUCUCGGGUGACGAGCGGCGGACGGGUGAGUAAUGUCUGGGAAACUGCCUGAUGGAGGGGGAUAACUACUGGAAACGGUAGCUAAUACCGCAUAAUGUCGCAAGACCAAAGUGGGGGACCUUCGGGCCUCAUGCCAUCAGAUGUGCCCAGAUGGGAUUAGCUAGUAGGUGGGGUAACGGCUCACCUAGGCGACGAUCCCUAGCUGGUCUGAGAGGAUGACCAGCCACACUGGAACUGAGACACGGUCCAGACUCCUACGGGAGGCAGCAGUGGGGAAUAUUGCACAAUGGGCGCAAGCCUGAUGCAGCCAUGCCGCGUGUGUGAAGAAGGCCUUCGGGUUGUAAAGCACUUUCAGCGGGGAGGAAGGCGGUGAGGUUAAUAACCUCAUCGAUUGACGUUACCCGCAGAAGAAGCACCGGCUAACUCCGUGCCAGCAGCCGCGGUAAUACGGAGGGUGCAAGCGUUAAUCGGAAUUACUGGGCGUAAAGCGCACGCAGGCGGUCUGUCAAGUCGGAUGUGAAAUCCCCGGGCUUAACCUGGGAACUGCAUUCGAAACUGGCAGGCUAGAGUCUUGUAGAGGGGGGUAGAAUUCCAGGUGUAGCGGUGAAAUGCGUAGAGAUCUGGAGGAAUACCGGUGGCGAAGGCGGCCCCCUGGACAAAGACUGACGCUCAGGUGCGAAAGCGUGGGGAGCAAACAGGAUUAGAUACCCUGGUAGUCCACGCCGUAAACGAUGUCGAUUUGGAGGUUGUGCCCUUGAGGCGUGGCUUCCGGAGCUAACGCGUUAAAUCGACCGCCUGGGGAGUACGGCCGCAAGGUUAAAACUCAAAUGAAUUGACGGGGGCCCGCACAAGCGGUGGAGCAUGUGGUUUAAUUCGAUGCAACGCGAAGAACCUUACCUGGUCUUGACAUCCACAGAACUUUCCAGAGAUGGAUUGGUGCCUUCGGGAACUGUGAGACAGGUGCUGCAUGGCUGUCGUCAGCUCGUGUUGUGAAAUGUUGGGUUAAGUCCCGCAACGAGCGCAACCCUUAUCCUUUGUUGCCAGCGGUCCGGCCGGGAACUCAAAGGAGACUGCCAGUGAUAAACUGGAGGAAGGUGGGGAUGACGUCAAGUCAUCAUGGCCCUUACGACCAGGGCUACACACGUGCUACAAUGGCAUAUACAAAGAGAAGCGACCUCGCGAGAGCAAGCGGACCUCAUAAAGUAUGUCGUAGUCCGGAUUGGAGUCUGCAACUCGACUCCAUGAAGUCGGAAUCGCUAGUAAUCGUAGAUCAGAAUGCUACGGUGAAUACGUUCCCGGGCCUUGUACACACCGCCCGUCACACCAUGGGAGUGGGUUGCAAAAGAAGUAGGUAGCUUAACCUUCGGGAGNGGCGCUUACCACUUUGUGAUUCAUGACUGGGGUGAAGUCGUAACAAGG
rnacentral:rRNA from 1 species